CCUACGGGUGGCAGCAGUAGGGAAUAUUGCUCAAUGGGGGAAACCCUGAAGCAGCAACGCCGCGUGGAGGAUGAAGGUUUUCGGAUUGUAAACUCCUUUUUUUAGAGAAGAUAAUGACGGUAUCUAACCAAUAAGCACCGGCUAACUCCGUUCCAGCAGCCUCGGUAAUACGGAGGGUGCAAGCGUUACUCGGAAUCACUGGGCGUAAAGGGCGCGUAGGCGGGAUAGCCAGUCAGAUGUGAAAUCCUUUGUCUUAAACAUAGAACUGCAUUUGAAACUGUUAUUCUAGAGUAUGUGAGAGGUAGGUGGAAUUCUUGGUGUAGGGGUAAAAUGCGUAGAGAUCAAGAAGAAUACUGAUUGCGAAGGCGACCUGCUAGAACAUAACUGACGCUGAUGCGCGAAAGCGUGGGGAGCAAACAGGAUUAGAUACCCUAGUAGUC
rnacentral:rRNA from 1 species